UCAUUCUCCAAAGGUGAAGGAGGUGGCCAUAAGCACUUCGACAGUCAAGGCAGUAACUUGUAUAGAUAUAUUUAGGUAUGGGAUGAAUGAAAGACAUGAGUCACAAUAGUGUUUUGGUAUCGGGGGGGUAAUAAGAGAAAAUAAAUGUGAGAGCAAUAUUAUUGUGAAUGUACAAAAUUGCAUUACCUUCAAGUGACACGGAUAUGUGUAAUUUGU
rnacentral:lncRNA from 1 species